GAAAAAUUAUAUGAUGCAAUUUUUUUUAGCACUGCUGUACUUUUUCCUCUUUAUUUGUAUUAUUUUUCAUGUUCUAAGGUAUGGAAGAAGGAAUUUAUGCAAAAUUGUAUAUAAAUUCAACCAUUUACUUGAAUAUUGGCCUUGUAGUUGCCAAAAAUGUCAAAAAGAUAGUGGAUGUUGCAAAAUGCUGGGUAGUGAAGGUUUGGCAGAAUGAGAGAUGAUGAUGUAGAGCAACUGUUACAGUCAUACAAUAAGGAGUUGACUGAAGAGAAGUUGAAGGAACUAAUCAGAAAAUAGUGAGGAAAAGAAUGAUGCUAAAAAAGACAAAGAGCAAAAUGACUCCUUCUGACUUAAACAAAGGCCUGCUAGUGAUGAAUAAUCUCUCAGAAUUUUUUUUGAAAUAGAUCCUAACAUGGAGUGGAGUUUAAAAUUAAAAUGGAGUUUAGAAGAUUUGUUAGCUCCAUAUAAACAGUUACAAAAAUA
rnacentral:lncRNA from 1 species